AAUGCUCAUGACAAAGAUGCUAGCGCAAUUGCUGGAUAUGAUGCAGUCUAUGGAAGCACUCAAAAACAAGGGGAUGCUAGUCCAAUUGCUGGAUAUGAUGCAGUCUAUGGAAGCACUCGAAAACAAGGGGAUGCUAGUCCAAUUGCUGGGUAUGAUGCAGUCUAUGGAAGCACUAAAAAACAAGGGGAUGCUAGUCCAAUUGCUGGCUAUGAUGCAGUCUAUGGAAGCACUCAAAAACAAGGGGAUGCUAGUCCAAUUGCUGGAUAUGAUGCAGUCUAUGGAACCUCUCAAAAAGCAGAAGGAAGUUCCAUCAAUGUUCACAAGGAUGCUAGCUCAAUUGCCGGAUAUGAUGCAGUCUAUGGAAACUCUCAACAAAAAGCAGGAGGAAGUUCUAUCAAUGCUUACAAAGAUUCUAGCCCAGUUGCGGGGUAUGAUGCAGUUAAUGUGUUUUUGGAAAAAGACCUGCAUCCUGGGACAAAAAUGGCGGUGCGCUUCACAAAAACCUCAAGUGCAGCUCAUUUCUUGCCCCAUCAAGUUGCUGAAUCCAUACCUUUUUCAUCAAACAAGCUACCAGAAAUUUUGAAGCGAUUCUCCGUGAAAGAAAACUCCGCAGAAGCCCAGAUAAUACAGAAAACAAUAAAACAAUGUGAGACGCCUGCCAUAGUAGGAGAAGUUAAGUACUGUGCGAGGUCCUUGGAGUCCCUAAUUGAUUUCAGCACUUCAAGGCUGGGAAAAAACAUUCGAGUUCUCUCCAAUGAGGUGGAAGCGGAUAUCCAGGAGUAUAAAUUUGGAGAGGGAGUGAAGAUGGUGGGAGAGAAAUCAGUGGUGUGCCACCAGCUGAACUAUCCAUAUGCUGUGGCAUUCUGCCAUACACUUCACAUGACAAAGAUUUACAUGGUUCCAUUGGUGGGUGCUGAUGGAACCGGAGUUGAAGCUGUAGCAGUUUGUCACCGGGACACGUCAACUUGGGACCCAAAGGCUUUGGUCUUUCAAAGCCUCAAAGUUAAGCCAGGAACUUUGCCCAUCUGCCAUUUCCUUCCCAAUGGUCAUACUGUCUGGGUUCCAAAGUAGGUAGAGAUCCGCAGAAAGCCUCCAACCCAAUUGCUGGCUUGCAGUUUCUGUAAUAUAUUGUGUGCUUUGAAUAACUGCUAGGGUUGAGGAAUGUGUGUCCUAACUCCUAUGUGUAAUAUUAUUCAGUAACGAGUGACUCUCUCCUUGGUUAUUUAUUUUUUCGGGUUUAUUUCAUUACCUUCUUUCGAUUAAGUACAUCUAGCAACCACGCUUUUUAAAAAAUAAAACCAUGAUAUAUAAAAGUGUUAAAUAUAUAAUAUAAGCAAAUUCGUCUUCUAUCUUAUAUUAAAAUGAAUGAAAAAGGUUACAACGAUGAAACUCUCGAAAAACACUUUUCAAUUACAACCACACUUUUUAAAAAAUAAAACCCUAAUAUAUAAAAUGGUCAAAUAUAUAAUAGGAACAAAUUCGUCAUUUAUCAUAUAAAAAAAGAUUCUCCAAAUACCCCAGUAAAAGAGCAACAAUAACUUAAAAUUGUUUUUAUUCAAGUAUAUGGUUGUAGUAAAAUUGUUUAUGUUAUUCUAUAGUUUGUUGUUGUGUAAGAGGAAUAUUAAUAACAACUAGUUUCAAACAUAAUACUGAAGAUCAUAUUGCCAUUUUUUUUUUCAUGUUGAAGAUAUAAUAUAAUUAUUAAACAAAAUGGGGUGACUUUGAUUUAAAGUAUUUAAUUUUAAGUUAAUAAUUUUAGAAAUAACAUUUUGAAUAAGUAUAAACAUGAAAUAAUCCAAUAAAACUAAGACUUGAUAUAUAAAUUCUAAGAAUAAAAUAUUAUGCUCGUUUAACAUAAAUGUUAAAAUUUUAAUUUGAUAUUUAAAUUUAUAAAUAAAAAUGGAAUUAAUAAAAAUAAAUUGAAAUGAUUUUAAUGAAUAUAAAAUAAACAUUAUUUAAUUUAAUUUUAGUAUAUGAAAGAUAAAAAUUAAUAUAUAUAUAUAUAUAUAUAUAUAUAUAGAAAACAAUAAAACAAUGUGAGACGCCUGCCAUAGUAGGAGAAGUUGAGUACUGUGCGAGGUCCUUGGAGUCCCUAAUUGAUUUCAGCACUUCAAGGCUGGGAAAAAAUUUGGAGAGGGAGUGAAGAUGGUGGGAGAGAAAUCAGUGGUGUGCCACCAGCUGAACUAUCCAUAUGCUGUGGCAUUCUGCCAUACACUUCACAUGACAAAGAUUUACAUGGUUCCAUCGGUGGGUGCUGAUGGAACCGGAGUUGAAGCUGUAGCAGUUUGUCACCGGGACACUUCAACUUGGGACCCAAAGGCUUUGGUCUUUCAAAGGCUCAAAGUUAAGCCAGGAACUUUGCCCAUCUGCCAUUUCCUUCCCAAUGGUCAUAUUGUCUGAGUUCCAAAGUAGGCAGAGAUCCGCAGAAAGCCUCAAACCCAAUUUCUGGCUUGCAGUUUCUGUAACAUAUUGUGUGCUAUUUGAAUAACGGCAAGGGUUGAGGAAUAUGCAUCCCAACUCCUAUGUGUAAUAUUAUUCAGUAACGAGUGACUUUCUCCUUGAUUAUUUAUUUUUUCAAGUUAAUUUCAUUGACCUUCUCUCAACUACGUACAUCUAACUCUCAUAAUUUUAAAAUUUCAUUAAAUAUUAGGCUUAUUCUUUUCAUUUCUUAUUUUCACUUAUUACCUAUUUAAUUCAAAAUAAAGGAAAUGUACCAUGAAAAUUUAAAUUUACAAGAAUUAAAUAUAUUUAAUCAAAAUCUUAAAAAUGGUGAAUGAAAUUAACUUUUAUUUUUUUGUUAAUAUUAUCUAUUGCAAAUAAAAGGAAACAGUGACCAGAAGAAUAGUGACAAUACUUACUAUAAUCAUUUUAUUUCAGUAAUAAUAAAAGCAAAAAUUUCAUUAUUUAAUUACCUCAACAAUAAUCAUGUCACAAUUAUUCAAAGAAUAUAGUCCCGGAACAAUACUGAAAAUUAUUAUUAUUAUUAUUUUAUUUGAAUGAUAGUAAAAAUAUGACAUUUAUCUCUUUUUGUUUUACCUACUUAAUUUCCAAACCCAUCCAUUUUUUUUCCUUCGAGUUUUCUAUUUUUAUUUAUUUUUAUAUUUUAUAAAAGAUUUUUCAAAUGAUCAAAUUUUUAAAUAAAUAUUAGUUUGAUUGUGGUUAUCAAUUUUCUUGCUAUACAAAGAAAAACACCAAAUCAAACGGUAUUUGAUGUUUUAAACUCUUUAACAAAUCUAAUAACUUUUAAAAAUAAUUUAGAAACCAAUUAAUACCUAUUGCAACCUAAAAAUGUGCUAUCCAUGUUGACAAUUUAUUACCCCAUUUCCAAUUGUAGUUGUAGAUGAGGGAGAUAAUUUUCCUGAUGAGGGCAUUAUUAUAAACAUUAUUACGAUGGUAUGGCAAAGUGAAGGAUGCAUUAUGAUGGAGCUUCCAACAAUCGAGAACAUGUUGUUGAUGUAUUUUAGUUAUUUCUCUUCUAGGUGAUCACAUUCCUAAUCAAUUAUAUAAUCAUAAUGAUUGAAAUCGAUGCAAUCGAAGCAUUAAAAAACCAAUGUGAAGGAACGAGUCUUAAGUACAAAUAAAUGGAAUCACUUAUAAAAAUUAAGAAUAUAAAAAAUAAUAUUUAAAUUUAAAAAUGUAUUAAUAAUAUAAUAAAUUAUUAUCAAAUAUAAAGAUAUAUGAUCUCCAUCACAUUUUUCAACUGCCGUCCAACUUGGCAGCCAAUGUCGCUACCCUCCUUUCAACCUCUUCCAUGAUGACCUCAUUAGUCUAGAUCUUUCGGAGAUAGUCUGCAUAGGUCCGAUGGAAUCAAUAGUUUGGUUCUAAUAAGUUUGGUUCAGUUUGGUUCUUUCUUUAGAGAGCAAUGAGAAUAUACCCUGUCGACAAUAAUGUCGGUUUCCCAUCGGAAUGAGUUUGUAGAGGAGAAAAAAAGGGUAGCUUUAGCACAAAAUUCAUAUUACUGUAUGUGACAGAAAUAACUUUAAAAUAUACCAAGUGGGGAUUAAAAUUUGUUCAUUAUUUAAAAAGAAAUGUAUAAGAAUACUAUCUAAUUCUCCGGGAUUAAGAUUCCAAUCAAUCAGCCAAUUCCAUUGGAAAGCAUCUAUCAAAUUGAUAAAGCCGAUGAACAACCUCUCACACAGGAUAUUGUCUUAAAUUUCAAUUAGAUAACGACGAUGCGACAACCUCUCACACACGAAUGCCUUACGUAGUAGUUUAAUGGAAUUAGCUUUGUCUGUGCCUAUGCCACCAGCAUUUUAAUUAAUGCUUGUGGGACAUGAGUGAGAGAAGAAAUCAACAAUAAAUAGGAAGCCAUGCACUUCCCUCCUUUCCAUUCUGGGUUCUAGGCGGCUAGCUUUGUACGAGUUGGAGUAGUUUCAGAGCUUUAAUGGAGUUUCAUCUCCUUCCCAUUCUGACUUCUUUCUUGGUGAGCCUUCACUUCCACCUUUUCUUGAACACUUCGUUUUUAUAUUUCAUGGAAUAUAACUUACAUAUAUGGCAUGAAGUACUUGUGGCAGCUGGUGGUGGUCAGCCAUGCUUAUUCUCUACCUUCCGAGGUUGAUUGGAUGUCGGGUUUGCCUAACACUCCCUUCCCGAAAGCUAUGCGGAAUCUCUUAAUGCAGCCUGGUUGGUUUCCAACUUCCUCUUUUGUUGGCUCAUAGUAAUAGUGUGUUGAAUAAUGUAUUUAUGAGAAUCAUCUAUCAAAUAUUUCUUCGGAAAAUAUUAUAAGUAUUUUUUCAAUGAUGAUUUUUCAUAUUUUUAAAGAUAUUUCCUAAAAUUUUAUCAAAUAUCAAAUGAGUUCUAAACCUGUUUGAGAACUAUUGCUAGUUUGAAUGACCAUAAUAGACUAAAAAAUGACUUGAGUAGAGAUGAGAUUUAUUUAUUUUAAUAUUUAUGUCAAUUAUGGGGAUUAUAGGUAAUGACGAAUUUGAAAAAUAAAAUGUAACAUCGAGUAUAAAUGAGUUAUAAUCAUGUGAAAUUAUCAACAACCAUGUUUUGAUAAAAUAUUUGCUGCUUAAUGCAACAAAUUAAAUGGCCUUAAUUAGUUAUACCAUCAAUCAUGGGUUUAUGUGUGGCUUUAAGAAAAUAUGUGUCCUUAAUUAUUUCUCAAGUUAUUAUCCUCGUCAUCAUAAUUAACCUUUUAAAUUGUUGAAUUUGCAAACACAACAAAAGACGGAAGUUCUACCAAUGCUGACAAGACCAUCCCCACUGCUAAAUACGACACCCUUUAUGAAAACCCUCAAAAAGCAGCGAAAAGUUCUAUAAAUGCUCGCAAGAAUGCUAGCCAAAUUAAUCAAUACGAUUUAGUUCAUGAAAACCUUAGAAAGUUAAAUGAAAGCUCUAUCGAAUCUCCCAAGGAUGCUAGCUCACUUGUCGGAUAUGAUGCAAUCUAUGGAAACGCCAAAAAACAAGGAGAUGCUGUCCCAAUUACCGGAUCAUAUGAUGCAGUCUAUGGAAACCCCAAAAAACAAGGAGAUGCUACCCCCGGAUCAUAUGAUGCAGUCUAUGGAAACCCCAACAAACAAGAAGAUGCCACCCCCGGGUCAUAUGAUGCAGUCUAUGGAAACCCCAACAAACAAGGAGAUGCUGCCCCAGUUACCGGAUCAUAUGAUGCAGUCUAUGGAAACCCCAAAAAACAAGGAGAUGCUGCCCCAGUUACCGGAUCAUAUGAUGCAGUCUAUGGAAACCCCACAAAACAAGGAGAUGCUUCCCCAGUUACCGGAUCAUAUGAUGCAGUCUAUGGAAACCCCAAAAAACAAGGAGAUGCUGUCCCAGUUACCGGAUCAUAUGAUGCAGUCUAUGGAAACCCCAAAAAACAAGGAGAUGCUGUCCCAGUUACCGGAUCAUAUGAUGCAGUCUAUGGAAACCCCACAAAACAAGGAGAUGCUUCCCCAGUUACCGGAUCAUAUGAUGCAGUCUAUGGAAACCCUAAAAAACAAGGAGAUGCUUCUCCAGUUACCGGAUCAUAUGAUGCAGUCUAUGGAAACCCCAAAAAACAAGGGGAUGCUACCCCAAUCACCGGAUCAUAUGAUGCAGUGUAUGGAAACCCUCAAAAAAUUGUAGGAAGUUCCAUUAAUGCUCAUAAGGAUGCCAGCCCAAUUGCCGGAUAUGAUGCAGUUUAUAGAAACCCUCAAAAAGCAGGAGGAAGUUCUAUUAAUGCUCAGAAGGAUGCUAGCUCAAUUGCCGGAUAUGAUGCAGUCUACGGAAGCGCUCAAAAAGUAGGUGAAAGUUCCAUCAAUGCCCACAAGGAUGCCAACUCAAUUGCCGGAUAUUAUGCAGCCUAUGGAAACCCUCGAGAUGCAGGUGAAAGUUCUAUUGAUGCUGGCAAGGCUAGCCCAACUGCCUCAUAUCGGACUGUUUACGGAAAUCCUCGAAAAGCAAGUGGAAGCACUGAUAUCAAUGCUGGUAAGCCUAGUAGAACUAUGCAAUACGAGAGGGUCUAUGGAAAUCCUCAAAAAGCAGGCGGAAGUUCUGUAAGCGCGGGCAAAAAUAGUCCAAACUUGCAACAAGGACACCAAGAUGGUACCAGUACAGGUAAUGUGUUCUUGGAAAAAGACCUGCAUCCUGGGACUAAAAUGAUGGUGCGCUUCACAAAAACCUCAAGUGCAGCUCAUUUCUUGCCCCAGCAAGUUGCUGAAUCCAUACCUUUUUCAUCAAACAAGCUACCAGAAAUUUUGAAUCAGUUCUCAGUGAAA
rnacentral:lncRNA from 1 species